AAUUAAGUUAUUAAGGGCAUAGAGUGGAUGCCUUGGUGCUAGAAGGCGAUGAAAGACGUGAUAAGCUGCGAUAAGCUUCGGUUAGGUGCAAACAACCUUUGACCCGGAGAUUUCUGAAUGGGGUAACCUGGCGGGAUUGAAUCCCGUCGUUCCUUCCCGAAUAAAAUAAGGAAGGAUACGCAAGACCUGCUGAAUUGAAACAUCUUAGUAAGCAGAGGAAAAGAAAGAGAAUUCGAUUCCGUAAGUAGCGGCGAGCGAAAACGGAUCAGCCCAAACCGGCGUCUUUGGCGUCGGGGUUGUAGGACCCCGCUGUGGGACCUUUGAAGAUAGGUGAACACUUUGGAAAGAGUGGACAAAGAGCGUGACAUCCGCGUAACCGAAAUCUGAUGAGGCCCUAGGGAGUUCCUGAGUAGCACGGGACACGUGAAACCCCGUGUGAAUCUGCGCAGACCACUGCGUAAGGCUAAAUACUAACUAGCGACCGAUAGUGAACCAGUACCGUGAGGGAAAGGUGAAAAGUACCCCUGUGAGGGGAGUGAAAUAGAACCUGAAACCCUAUGCCUACAAGGUGUUAGAGCCCUUUCGAGGGUGAUAGCGUGCCUUUUGCUUAAUGAGUCUGCGAGUUACCGUCUGUGGCAAGCUUAAGAUCUUCUGGAUCGUAGGCGUAGCGAAAGCAAGUCCGAAUAGGGCGAUCCUAGUUGCAGGCGGUAGACCCGAAACGGAGGUGACCUACCCAUGGCCAGGUUGAAGCUUAGGUGAUACUAAGUGGAGGACCGAACCGGUGUGUGUUGAAAAACGCUCGGAUGAGCUGUGGGUCGGAGUGAAAGGCUAAUCAAACCCCGUGAUAGCUGGUUCUCCUCGAAAUGCAUUUAGGUGCAGCGUUGCGUGUUGAUGAGUGGGGGUAGAGCACUGACAGGGCUAGGGGGCAUACCCGCCUACCAACCCCUAUCAAACUCCGAAUACCAUUCAAUAGAGCGCAGCAGUGAGACGGCGGGGGAUAAGCUUCGUCGUCGAGAGGGAAACAGCCCAGACCAGCAGCUAAGGUGCCUAAAUUGUGCUCAGUGGAAAGGAGGUGAGGUUUCAUAGACAGUGAGGAUGUUGGCUUAGAAGCAGCCACCAUUUAAAAAAUGCGUAAUAGCUUACUCAUCGAGAGACCUUGCGCCGAAAAUACUUGGCGAUAAGCACAAUACCGAAGCUCUGGGUGUCAUAGUUUACUAUGGCGCGGUAGAGGAGCAUUCUCUGUGCAGUGAAGGGUGAUGGCGACUGACCCUGGAGCGCAGAGAAGUGAGAAUGCAGACAUGAGUAACGAUAAGAGCGGUGAAAUCCCGCUCCGCCGUAAAUCCAAGGUUUCCCGGGCAACGUUUUUCGUCCCGGGGUUAGUCGGGACCUAACCCGAGGCCGAUGGGCGUAGGGGAUGGCAAUCAGGUUAAUAUUCCUGAACCCAGUAAGGAGGACGCAUAAUGAAAAGCUACUAAGUGAUUGAAUUCUGAGGUGAGGCUACGGCCGAUCCGCAUAGCUGGACAGAGUGCCAAGAAAAGCCCUUACAUUAAUGGCCCGUACCGUAAACCGACACAGGUGGAUGGGUAGAAUAUACCAAGGCGCAAGAGUGAAACCUGGUCAAGGAACUCGGCAAAAUAGCCCCGUAACUUCGGAAGAAGGGGUGCCCCUCUCCAGCAAUGGAAGGGGGCCGCAGUGAAAUGGCCCAACCGACUGUUUAGCAAAAACACAGCAUUGUGCUAAGGCGUAAGCCGACGUAUACGAUGUGACACGUGACCAAUGCCAAAAGAUUACGGUAAGGUGUUAGCCUUUAUGGCGAAGCUCCGAGCCCAAGUCCUGGUGAAUGUCGGCCGUAACUAUAACGGUCCUAAGGUAGCGAAAUUCCUUGUCGGGUAAGUUCCGACCUGCACGAAUCGUGCAACGAGUUGGGCGCUGUCUCGACCAGGUGCUCAGUGAAAUUGUAGUUCCGGUGAAGAUGCCGGACACCCGCAGAAGGACGGAAAGACCCUAUAGACCUUAACUGUAAGCUGUUAUUGGUUGUUCGAUCUUAAUGCUCAGCAUAAGUGGGAGACAUUGAAGGGUGCCUUUAGGGGCAUCUGGAGUCAUCAGUGAGAUACCACCCUUUAAUAUUGGAUAAUCUAACCCCGAGCCGUCAUCCGGCCGGGGGACAAUGGCAGCCGGUCAGUUUUACUGGGGCGGUAUCCUCCUAAAGAGUAACGGAGGAGCGCGAAGGUGGGCUCAGCACAGUUGGCAACUGUGUGUUGAGUGUAAAGGCACAAGCCCGCCUAACUGUGAGACCUACAAGUCGAGCAGAUACGAAAGUAGGCCUUAGUGAUCCGGCGGUAGAAUGUGGAAUUGCCGUCGCUCAACGGAUAAAAGGUACCUUAGGGAUAACAGGCUUAUCACGCCCAAGAGUUCAUAUCGACGGCGUGGUUUGGCACCUCGAUGUCGGCUCGUCGCAUCCUGGGGCUGGAGAAGGUCCCAAGGGUCCGGCUGUUCGCCGGUUAAAGCGGCACGCGAGCUGGGUUCAGAACGUCGCGAGACAGUUCGGUCCUCUAUCCUCUGUGGGCGUAGGAAAAUUGAAGGGUUCAGACCUUAGUACGAGAGGACCGGGUUUGACGCACCUCUGGUGUUCCAGUUGUUCUGUCAAGAGCAUUGCUGGGUAGCUAAGUGCGGAAAGGAUAAGCGCUGAAAGCAUCUAAGCGCCAAGCCAUUCCUGAGAUAAAUUUUCCCUGAAGGAUCGUGGAAGACGACCACGUUGAUAGGCUGGGGGUAUAAGUGCAGCAAUGUAUGUAGCUCACCAGUACUAAUCAUCCGUUCGACUUAAUUCC
rnacentral:rRNA from 2 species